AUUGAACGCUGGCGGCAGGCCUAACACAUGCAAGUCGAGCGGAUGACGGGAGCUUGCUCCUUGAUUCAGCGGCGGACGGGUGAGUAAUGCCUAGGAAUCUGCCUGGUAGUGGGGGACAACGUUUCGAAAGGAACGCUAAUACCGCAUACGUCCUACGGGAGAAAGCAGGGGACCUUCGGGCCUUGCGCUAUCAGAUGAGCCUAGGUCGGAUUAGAUAGUUGGUGGGGUAAUGGCUCACCAAGGCGACGAUCCGUAACUGGUCUGAGAGGAUGAUCAGUCACACUGGAACUGAGACACGGUCCAGACUCCUACGGGAGGCAGCAGUGGGGAAUAUUGGACAAUGGGCGAGAGCCUGAUCCAGCCAUGCCGCGUGUGUGAAGAAGGUCUUCGGAUUGUAAAGCACUUUAAGUUGGGAGGAAGGGCAGUAAGUUAAUACCUUGCUGUUUUGACGUUACCGACAGAAUAAGCACCGGCUAACUCUGUGCAGCCGCCGCGGUAA
rnacentral:rRNA from 1 species